UACGUAGGGGGCAAGCGUUGUCCGGAUUUAUUGGGCGUAAAGAGCGUGUAGGCGGCUUUGCAAGUCCGUUGUGAAAACUCGAGGCUCAACCUCGAGACGUCGGCGGAAACCAUCUGGCUAGAGUCCGGAAGAGGAGAGUGGAAUUCCUGGUGUAGCGGUGAAAUGCGCAGAUAUCAGGAAGAACACCCGUGGCGAAGGCGGCUCUCUGGGACGGUACUGACGCUGAGACGCGAAAGCGUGGGGAGCGAACAGG
rnacentral:rRNA from 1 species